AAGCCAGAGGAUCUUGAGGGCACGCAGGGCACUGAUAUCCUCAGGUAGGCCUCGCAGCCGGUUGCUGGAGACGUCGAGCUCCUCCAGGGCAGCCAGCUGCAGCAGCUGCUGGGGAAAGGCGGUGAGCUGGUUGUGGUCCACGUCAAGGGUCCGAAGGUGGUUGAGGCAGGAGAAGGAAUCUGGCAGAUGCGCCAGCCGGUUGAAGCUGACAUCCAGCUCCUCCAGAUCUUUGACUCGCACCCAAGCUGAAGUUUCACUGCCACCCAUGUGACCUUGUACCUCUCCGAGAUCUCCACCCUUAUCAUAUCAUCAGCCUUACCCUCUCAAAGGGCACUUCACCAUUUCCUCUCCUGUGAAUAUGCAUUGAGAUGGGAAACUUCCUUUGGAUGCUGGCUUCUUCUCGGGUCUCUCAGUUCCAGAAAACACUGUGUCCCAGAAAAGCCAUUCCUUCGCUUGGUUCAACUGCUUUGGACUCUGAAAAUAGCUCUGAUUUCAUUCACUCAGCUGCUCUGGAGUUCAGAAGUGAAGACACUCGUGGCUGGAAGUUUUAACUAACUCUGGAGUAUAGAAAGGACCUGUCUGGUCCUAAAACAAAAUUUGCUGAUCAGGAAACCCUACAGAGCUAAGGGCAAUCAGGGCCAGGUUACUACAUCUUAGGAGAAGGUGAAUUGAACCCUCAAAGUCUGGAAAGGUUGAGUACCGCAUCUAUUUGGAACAAGCUCAGAACCUUUUAGAACCUUUACCUCUUCCUUUCUCAAAUGGCCUCUAUUUCUGAAAAGCCAAAUUAAAAAGGAGACGGGCUAUUCAAAACCUUGGAGGUGAGAUCAUCUGUGCUAUCUUUAGCUGAAUAGGGAGGAGAAGUAUUGCAAAGUGUUGGCUAGGUCUAAAAUUACAAGAGAGGAGAAGUCUGGGGGCCCACCCUGGCAUCCAUGGUGAAGGCUGAAGUGUUCAACGUGCAACUACUUAAGAAGAAACUUCCACUAUUGCCCUCUUUCUAUAGCCAGAAAUAAAGGCAGCAUGGUAGUCAUGUUACCCAGGCCACUGAUAUCGAGUCCCAGUGACUGCAGUGUCUGAGAGUCACCUCGGCCAGUCACAGUAGCUGACAUGUAUAAAGAAUUUCCAUGUCUGCAAGGCAUGGUGCUGUAGCUUUUUAUCUAAUACUCACAAGUUUCCUGAGUUGGGGGCUCUAAUGCUACCCCAGAAUUGAAAUCCAAGAGACAAUAGUAGUAAGAUGUAAAAGCAAAGCAUGGCAGAAGGCAACGCUCAGACAGCUGGUCCCUGAGCUUGAAGAUUUGUGGAAGGUACAUGUGACCAGUCUUGGCUCUCUGGGUAUUUUAAGCCAAAGAGUAGUAAGGCCAGGUACAGAGGAGAACUGGCAUUGGCUUCAGGGGACAUUGUACUGGGCUCUUAUAGAUACAUUCAAAGAAUGUCACGCUGGGCAGGCACAAACCUCUUAAACCAACAGUCUUCCCAAACCGUGGCUCAGAGCUUGACAUCGGGACCACAAGCUCGCUGCGAGCUGUUAUUUCAUUUGCUUUACAUGGCUGGUAUUUAAAAUCAGUGUCUAUGCAACCUGCACCUCAAUUAAAAGGCAGUUCAUAAUCUAUAUUUUGAUAAGGAUUUUUUAAAGACUCAUUUGUCAAGCUGAGAUUAAAGGCAAAGAUCAGACAUCAU
rnacentral:lncRNA from 1 species